UACAGAGGGGGCAAGCGUUGUUCGGAAUUACUGGGCGUAAAGGGCUUGUAGGCGGCCAACUAAGUCAGACGUGAAAUCCCUCGGCUUAACCGGGGAACUGCGUCUGAUACUGGAUGGCUAGAGAUUGGGAGAGGGAUGCGGAAUUCCAGGUGUAGCGGUGAAAUGCGUAGAUAUCUGGAGGAACACCGGUGGCGAAGGCGGCAUCCUGGACCAACACUGACGCUGAGGAGCGAAAGCCAGGGGAGCAAACGGG
rnacentral:rRNA from 1 species